rnacentral:lncRNA from 1 species
UCGUCGUUGCAUUCAUCUCCGCGCUCCUCAAUAAACACUGUCAAAAAAACAUAAUCAACAAAAAAAAAUACAUUAGCAAACUGCUUAAUAAAAAGCAAAAAGAAUUAAUAAGAUAUAAUUAUAAGAGUCUCAAUCUAUUCGGACAAAAAAAAGGUAUAGUUACGAGUUGCAAUCGGUGUUGGGGCUGAUCUCGUAAGGAAUGUGGACCCCACAUUGGCCGGGGAGGGCACUGGCAAGCGGGACCUGCAAGCCAGGGACACCGGCGGCGGCAGUCUUCAAGCACUGGCAAGCCUGCCGGCGGUCAGCGGUGGUGACGGCGGCGUUGUUCAGGGCCCUCACGCCGCUGCAGCAAGGAGCAGAGACCUGCCCGCCGCCGACCAAGUAAUAGACGCAAGGGGACAGGCUGCUCAUUACUUGCAUGCACGUGAUGGCGCCGUCGGUCGGCCUUAUCGGUGCAGACAUGACAAGGAUGGAGACGACGAGGAAUGACGUAGUCGGCAUCGUCAUCUUCAGAGCGGCAGCCAUUGUUGGAGGUUUAAUUUGGGGAGGUAAGUGAGUAAGGCGAGGUUAUAAGGUCUGUGCUCUUAUAUAUAUAUAGAGAGAGAGAAUUACGAGAGUAAAAAAGAACUCGAUUAGUUUUGAUUCUAACCAAACCGGUUGAUGAGUGGCUGAUUUCGAUUCGGUGGGGUGGGGUUGUUAAAACGUCACUAAGUUGAUUGGGGUCCAGGCAAUUAUGAAUUUGCCUAUUGAGGGUUGAAAUGCCGGUUUAAUACAUGAUGCCUAAUGUGGGCAAUUCAUGACUGGUACUUGAAAUCGUCUAGAGCGAUGUCGGUUAUAUAUAGUACUCUGACAAGUAAUUCAACUACCAGUCAUAAAUUAACUAUGAAUGAGAAGUAAUUCGAAAUCUAAAAGUGAUUUUCCGUUUAUAUUCUCUUGUAUCUAUAAGAAAAACUCACUAAAAAUUUCUACAAUCAUGCCCUCACCCUCACUCUCUUAAUGUCCAGUUAGCGAACUGAUUUUAUGGAGAGAAUCGAAGACUUUCGAUUAAAUCCAACCAAAUCGUUUUACCUUUGCAUUUUCCAACAAUGUUUGCACAUAAUUGAGUUAAUAAUAAGUAAUAAUCAUAUAUGAUCUGUCAAUAACACGUACAUAAUUUUUCAAUCUAGCGAUUCACAUUCAUUGGUCACACAAACACAUUACUCACUGUUUCACUUUGAAUUGAAUUAAUAAACUGCGAAUUAAGAUUAGUCUAAAUGUUUAAAUUUUUUUUGAAGAUUUUAAAUCAGAAAUUUUUUGGAGAACCCUUUUUUAAAUAUCAAACUCGUUUUCAAAUAGUUUCUAACUCAAACAGAAAAAUUUGGUCCGAUUUUAACAACACAACCCACAAAUGAAAAGACACAUUAUUAUUUAUUCAUUGCAAGAUACGAAAACACCGACAUAACAAUAUAACCAUCAUCAGUCGAUAUUAUUUUGUAUACAUAAGUAAUCAUUUAUUAUUUGUUCGCAUCACUCUCUUAUGUAUAUAGUUCACAUAAGCUAUCGCCACUACUAAUACGGCGCCGCUUCCUUCUUUCCCCGUUGACUACAUUCCUCACUGCACACUGUCCAAAUUCCAAACAAACCAAAAACAGAGUAAUUAGUAGCAAGGUCCAAUAUCUACGAUGCUUCAAUGUACAUACUACAUCGAAAUAUAUUGAAUACGAAAUGUACCAAAUCACAUAUAUCUCUCACUAGCAAAUCACUACCGAAACUAGAGGUAGGCUACUAAUCUAGAUUACGAGCGAUGGAAUUCUACGUAAAUGUCUUGAAAUUUAAAUUUCUAUGGAAUUCUUGGAAUUGACCUUCAAAUUUGAAAUUUUAUGAGAAAUAGUAAUACGUAGGUGUUGCAGUUGGUCCUGGUGCUGACCUUGUACGGGAUGUUGACGCGACAAGCACGCGGCAUGUUAGCGGCGUUGGCCUCACUCAGGCCGGAGAUCCCGGCAGUGGCGGACUUCAGACACUAGCAAGCCUGCCGGCGGUCCGAGGUGGUCCUAGCCUGACCAAUGAGGGUCCUUAUUCCAUUGCAGCAUGCCUGUGGGACAGUCCCACCGGACUUCAGGUAGUUAACGCACGGGGCCAUAUUGUUCGCAACCUGGCCGCACGUGAUCGCACCAUGGCGCAGACCAAGAGCACAGUAACCAGCUUCAUUGCACUCGCAGCCAUUGUUUUGUUAAACGUACGUAGGAAAAGCUUAUAGAAGUUGUGUGUGUAUCGAGAAAUGGGAGUUAAGCUAGGGUUUAUAUAGUGUGGGGAGGAGCUUGGGUGAUGCGCUGGAGGUGAAGACUAAAAGGGGAAGAUGAAAAGUGGAGAUCGUAGGUGGUGGGUCGGUCGACGGUAAGAAAACAGAACCUAGAACACAACCACCCGGAUCGAAAAUGAAGGCAUUCCAGUCGCAGAGCUUUGACGCAGAGAACACUCCGGAAGCCUUCAGCCAGAUCCCCAUUGUCGAGAAACUCUUCCCGCAAACGAACUCAGCCGGUUUUUCCUCGGCCUUAAAUAUUCCCGCAUUCCUUUCAAGUCAAACAAACCACAUAACAACGUGCAUGAUUAGCUUUGUUGCUUCGCCAAACUUGGAGAGGCAGUUCAUUCCUUUCCAAGACGAGAUGACAGCCUCAAUCGACGAAAGCAUCACGUGCAAGGAGAGUUUUGAACUAACUCUGUCCCAAACAACCAUAGCGAAUUUACAUCGUAAGACAAUAUGAUCCACCAUCUCGACAUCUUUCCGGCACAACACACAACAGUUUGCAAGCUGAAACCCGCGCCUCUGAAGGUUGUCCAAAGUGGCAGCCCUGUUAAGGAACACCUUCCAGCAAAAACCUUGAACCUUUGGUGGAGCGCUCUGUUCCCAAAUCAUCGCAAAAGGGAAAUCUGCCCGCCCCGAAAACUUCUCCCGAGUAAGAGCCUGUCGCAUAGAUCUGAUGGAGAACCUCAAAGACGCUUCCAAAGACAAAACAAUCGAGCUUGGCCCUGCUGUAAUAUGGUCUUCAGGGAUACUUGUCAGGCGCUGUAAAAGACGAUGAACCCCCACAAUGGCGCCCCCUCUGAGGGUAGUAGUGAGGGGAAUAUGCCACAACCGCCUGUUAUCAAAAGUACAGAGAUCAGAAACACAAACUUCUAAGGAUUGUGUAGCUGCAUCAAUCUUUGGAUACUCAUCCAACAACCUCACUCCCAAAACCCAAAAGUCAAAUAAAAAAGAACAUAUCCCACCCCCCAAAUCGAUAGAGCAGAAAUUCCAGAACUGUACUUGUAGACACAAUAAUAAUUGUCUUUGAUAACAUUUAUCCAACAUCAUCAAUCAUUAAAGCUUUGUGUUGUUUUUCGAGGUAUCAAAGUAUUUUCCAUAUAUAUAACGUUAGCUUAAUUAUAUAUAACUUAGAUUAAUCAGAUUAUAUAUUGAUUCUCACGUUUGGUUAAAAAAAAAACUUUUGAAAUAUGCAUGGAUUGUUAACAUGUUUUAAAAAAGUAAUGAUAUAUUUUAGUAUAUGGUACUAAAGGAAAAAUAUUAGUAAAAUUUCCAUGAAAAAAUUAUAUAUAAGAAAUUUUUUUCUAUAUUUGAGUGAUCACUUAAACCAAUUUGGUAAAAAUCUAGAUGCUAUAUGUCGCCCUUGCCAAGGGGAGAGAAACUGAGAGCAGUCGUUGUCUCUGUACUCCUCAAUAUUCACUCCUGGAUGCAGGCGGGAUGGAAGUAGUGGUCACAGCUGAGGACUGCGACCAACUCUUCGUCCCCGAAGGGUUCCAGGCAAAACGAACAUACCUUUUCUGCCUCACGGCCAGGGACUAUUUCCCUGGCUUCACGAUACGCCAUAUAUCUGAUCGGUCGCCGUGAUCGUCAUCUACGAGGAAGAGGAGGAGGAGUGAGCUCUAGCUCGAACUCUGGUGGCACAGGAUUAGGUCGAGUCAUCUUCCACGCGAUUGCACUAAAGAUCCCGAGCAUCACGGCUGCGAUCACAACAACCGCCGCCGUUUGGAGGGUGGUUAAAUUGGCAGGGCUUUGCACCGUGGCCCCAUUGCCAUUGAAACUGGGAGCAAUGUUUGACAUGAUCAAGAGUGAACAACUAUAAGAUCUAAUGCAGAGAAGAUUGAAGAGAGUACGUUGCAGUGGGGAAGGUAGGGAAUUUUGCUAACUGACUAGUUUUGGAUGAUAGAUCAAAUCGAACAAUACUCUUGUAAAUUAAUUGGUAAAUUAAUUGGUAGCUUUUGAAAUAUACAAAUAGUACCUAAUAAAAAAUAAACGAAUGGUACCAUUUAAAAUCGAACAGAACUCUUUUAGGAAGAAGAGUUUGAGACGAUGUUUAUAACGUGUUAUAUGCAACAUCGACAAAGUAGACAGAUUGAGGAGGACGGACGACUAAUGUCCAUUCGGAAGAUGUGCAGACGUGAGUAGAAUAGAAAGGUUGCAGGCAGUUUAAUGAAUGUCUCUCGAAUAACCUAUACUGUAUCGAUUAUUGAAUCGACAUAUCGUAGUGCACGACAUGAGUUGCGUUUGGCAUGAACCAAUUGGCCUCCAUAAAUUGGUUUCUCUAAAUUUCAACCAUCUGACAUCCACGAUAGUCAACAACCAAACAAUAAACCUAAACAACAUUGCAUGCUGACUGUGUAUCUAAAUCCCUGGUUCAUUAUCCUACUCAACAAGCCGUCAUCCACGUCAUUAAUACUUACGAUUCCAUCAAAUCUUAGUUAACGGACCAGACGGAGACUGAAAAAACUGUGCUAUAAAAUGUAUUUUCAAUAAAAUCGAGUCAUUUUCUGUAAUAUUGUUAUAGGUUAGGCUUCUUAAGUAAGAUUAUUAAAAGCCAAAUUAAAAUUAACAGGGAAAAGAUGGUAUCAUCGAGGAAGAAUUGCAAAACCACAGAACCAAAGGGAGAGAAAGGUAAAUUUCACGAAGAACAGAAAUAUUCGUAGAACUCUUCCAUUUCAUCGUCGACUUCAUCAUCGCCGGAAACCGCAAAGGCCUACUUUCACCGUCGUUUGUUUUUCCCUCGUUCGAUCGAAGUUCAUCUCAAUCUUCCUUGAUUCCCCCGUUGCUCUCGACGACGUGAUGGUUGUGCCGUCACAUCCAACGCCGACGGUUACUUCCAGAGCCGUAUUCGCGUCGUUUUGAUAUAUUACUGUUUAUCGCUUUGUUUUGUCUUUACUUUGCGGCAUGGGAGAUCUUCGACCGUGGUCACCGGAACUUAAUGGCGACGUUGUCGAGGAAAGGCCGUCGUCCUCGUCUUCUUUUUCUUCGUUUUCAUCGCCGCCGCUGACGAUUGAUGCGGCGAACUGGAAGAUUGCUGAGGCGGCGACGCAGCUUAUCAUAGCGAAAGUUCAGCCUACUAAUGUCUCGGAGGAGAGGAGAAAAGCUGUUGUUGAUUACGUCCAGCGUCUGAUUAGAAAUUCCAUUGGCUGCGAGGUGCAUUACUUGUUGUUUCUCUUCAUUUACUGACCUGUUAUCAAUAAUUUUGUUGCUGUAUCAUGUAUCUAAGUUCAUGAAUCGAUGGAGCAGUAGGCAACAGUUGAACUGAUUUCGGUUUGGAGUUAACAAUUUCGGAGGAUGUAAUGGUUUAGUUUCCAGUACUUGACAAUGCUGAAGAGUUGGGAAGUCCAGCAUUUGCCAUAUCAUGACAAUAAUCUAAGAGUUAGGGAGAACUGAUGUAGGUGGCUCUUCAUUGACAUUGUGAAUGGAUGAAUGUAGAAGUUCUGUAUCUGUUAGCUAUUCUGUUGUAGAAACGUUUUGAUUGUGUUAUACUGACUUAUACUUGGUACAGGUGCUCCCUUUUGGGUCAGUGCCAUUGAAAACUUAUCUUCCUGAUGGGGAUAUCGAUUUGACGGCCUUUGGUGGUCUGAAUAUGGAGGAAUCACUUGCCAACGAUGUGCGAUCGAUCCUCGAGUUAGAAGAUCAUAACAAGGCUGCAGAGUUUGUUGUAAAAGAUGUGCAAUUGAUUAGGGCGGAGGUAUCUCAUACAAUUCAUGUUCAUGCUGGGAUAUACAUUGUCUUUCUUGCGUGUAUCGUUUCUCUUAAAAAGGGAACACUGUAAUUUUGCGAGGCUCGUAAUGAAUCUUGCCGUAAUUGGACUCCUAUGCUUGUGUUCUAUGCUUUAAUAGGAUUUCUGUUCUUUUCUUCUUUUUAUAACUGUGUUUAGUUAUGAUCUGAUUCCUUAAGAAGUUGGACCACCAGAUCAACUGAUAUGUUUAUUUGCCCUUAGGCGUGCGAACUUUUUUCUGUUAGUACUGAAGAUGCAGCUGAUGUUUCGUAUGUGAUCUUUCCAUGGUUUAACUUUUCUUGGGCUUGUUAUAUUGUGUUUCUCCUGUGCAGGUUAAGCUCGUAAAAUGCCUGGUGCAGAACAUUGUUGUUGAUAUUUCCUUUAACCAAUUAGGAGGUCUCUGUACUCUAUGCUUUCUUGAGGAGGUAACUUUUUGAACUUUGAUUCUCAUAGGAGUGUUUUUCGCUAUCUCUUCAAAUAGUCGGUUUCUGCCUUUCUGGUAAUUUGAUCAUUAUGAUUAACCUAUUCCCUCUCAUUGGAGUCAAGCACUACCUGCUCGUGGAUUCACAUACGCUGACAUGCUCUAUAAAUAAUAAAAGUUUGUAGCUGAAGAUUCUAUUUUUAACGUUCAGAUGCUUUCUUUGAUUAACUGCAGGUAGACCGCCUGAUUGGAAAGGAUCAUCUUUUCAAACGAAGCAUUAUACUGAUCAAGGCAUGGUGCUAUUACGAAAGCCGCAUUCUUGGAGCACACCAUGGCCUAAUAUCUACAUAUGCUUUGGAAACAUUGGUUCUUUAUAUAUACCAUAUCUUCCACUCGUCACUAGAUGGUCCAUUGGCUGUGAGUCUUGUGAUAGCUUAUAUGGGUUUGCAGCAUUAUUUAUUUGGAUUUAGUUCCUGACAAUAUUUUUUUGUAGGUUUUGUAUAAAUUUCUAGACUAUUUUAGCAAAUUUGACUGGGAAAACUACUGCAUUAGUUUGAAUGGCCCAGUCCGAAUAUCCUCAUUGCCAGAAGUUGUAGGUGAGAAUAUAUCAACUACCCUAUGUUUCUUAAGUCGCUUUGCUUUUCUACUGAACAGAUUUCUUUGUUGUUUUUUGCAGUUGAUGUCGCUGACCAUGGUGGAUGUGAUCUACUGCUGAGUCAUGAGUUUAUCAAAAAGUGCGUGGACAGGUUUUCUGUUCCUUUUAGAGGAUCUGAGACAAACUCACGUAUGUUUCCAACGAAGCAUCUCAACAUUGUUGAUCCCUUGAAAGAAAACAAUAACCUUGGUCGGAGUGUGAGCAAAGGUAGAAAUUGGUCUAUUUCUUGUUUGAUUUCCUUCUUCUUAUCCUGCUGUCUACUAGAUUCGGAUAUACCUUAUUAUAAAUAAGUUUUAAUCCCUGCUGUCUCUGCAGGGAACUUUUACCGGAUAAAAAGUGCUUUCAGCUAUGGAGCUCGAAAGCUCGGUCUGAUUCUUUCGCAGCAAGAAGAAAAUGUAGCUGAUGAACUCUGCGGGUUUUUUUCCAACACUCUGGAUAGACAUGGCAAUGGUCAAAGACCUGAUGUUCAAGAUCCAUUACCCAUGGAUGGACACCAUGGACACAGUACCAGGUCAGCAUCUUCAGGUAAAGAAACUGGCCAAGACCACCAGAGAAAUUCUGAAGCAAGUGGCAAAAAUGGCAUCAGUGUUAAGUUAUCAGAUAUGGGAGCGAAAUGCAGCAAAGACACCACUGAAGCAGGCAAAAUGGAAAAUGGUAGUUUGUUUUCUCACCACCGUCUUUCCGGUGAUGCAGAAGAUCUGGCAUCUGCUAGAAUUCAACACCUUUCCAUUUCCGGCGAUGGACUGAUACAUUCUAGUACAAAAACUGAGAGCCCCACGAAAGAAGUGCAACUACGUCAUGCACCAGAUCUCAAUUUCACUGGUGACCAUGUUGUGUUGUCCCCUGUUGGAUCAUCAGUUGGAUUUCCUUCUGAAAAUCAUCAACCUGGUCAUUGUAGUGCUGGAAACUUCGAUGCCCUAGACUCUCUUUCAGAUCUCAGAGGUGAUUAUGAAGCUCACCUCCUUAGUUUGAGCCAUGGCCGGUGGUGCUACGAAUACGUACCAACUUCUCCAGUUCCGCCUAUAUCUCCAGUAAUGUUCAGUCCGGUCCAGAAAAAAAAUUAUUGGGACGGAACGAGACGACCGGCUCAUUACAGGCAGAAUCUCAAUGGAGUAAGUCCGAGGCCUGUGCUUAAUUCGAUCAAUCCACCCUUUCUGCACGGUCCAAUGUUUGCUAUGGAAGAGGUAUCGAAGCAACGAGGAACCGGGACAUACUUCCCAAAAGUGGUAUGCUUUUUUGAGUUCGAAAUUUGAAUUUUUAACGUUGAAACUCUGUCUUGGUUGGUCUUAUUGUGAUUUGGCUGCUUAUAACUGGUUUUUGUGAUAAACGUUGCAGAACCAUUACAGGGACAAGUCUUUGACGCCGAGGGGAAGUAGUCAGGUGUCACUACGGUCUCCUCGUACCAAUGGCUGUAUCGCUACUUCUCAGGAGCCUAACUUUUCAGAAAGAAGCAGAGGGCAGCUAUGUCCAGGUUCUGCUGUUGGACCGGAUACACUGCAGUCAAAACCUCCAGCCGUUGAAAGGUAACGGGUUAUAAACUUUAAAGUAGCGACAAGCAUCAACUUGCAAUGGAUUUCUGCUGGACUUAGUUGCAUUCAACUUUUUAGACCUCCCAAGUCGUAUCAACUUUUCAAGACGCAUUCGAUGAUUUCUCGCCAUUAUCAGCUUUGCUAACUCGAAAAAGCUGCUCGAGCUGGCUGACAUUCGGUUUCGGGUUGAUUCGAAUGUCUCUGUUAGAGUGAUUUAAUGCUGGUUUGAAGUAUAUGGAUAGAAAGUUAUAUGGAGUGUAGGGUUUGUUUGUAUGUAUAGUAUAUGGAUUGUAAUUGUAUAAUUUUGGGAGCCGAGGUUGAUAUAGAUAGAGCAAUAGAUUCUAACUCUGUGAUGUAAACUUAAAACUGGGGGAUCAGUUGUAUGUUGUUGUUUUGUUGAGUAGAACUAGAAUCUGUUGAUUUUGAAGCAAGUGGCUGGAAAAUGGCUAUCUUUAUUUCUCAGCCACCCUAAUAGUGAAGCCAUCACAAGAAUCUAAGGCCGACAUCAUUGUGAUGAUGAUGAUGAUGGGAAAUGGUAAGUUUGUGUCAUCAUUGUGUCGGUUGAGUACGAGUUGUGGUUCGAUUUUCAACAUCCACUUUAGACACGCGAGCAUUAAGAAGUUUGGUAUUCAAACGAAAGCUCAACCCCGAAAUUUGGACUGCUAUUUUACAGGUCUCGUCUGGACUGUAUCGAAGAUCAUUUCAUUCUGGAAAUCUGUUACUAUAAUAAACUCUUAAACUAUGGCGACUGUGACAUCGUUGGCGUGGUCACAACCUACUACAAUUAACAAAAGAGUUGAUUCAUGUCAAUUCAACCUUGGUGUCCGUUCCUAGUAUGUACAAAAAGGGACGUUUAAGAAAGGGUAGUAAAGGUAAAAGUAAAGAUGAAAGUGACAAUAGGUACUGAAAUCGAAAGACAAAGUUGAGUUUGAUUUGUUUUGUUCCAUUGUCCAGCCUCACAUCAGCGGAAUCCAAUUCAAAGCCAGAGGUUGGACGGGAUCUGAUGGGCGCUAGUUGAUCCGCUUGGUUAACCGGCAAACAUGUAAUAUUUUUGCGACAAGAUUCUCCGAUUUAUUCACAUGAGGUUUUUGUUUUUCUCCGAUCCUGUAGUACCCGACGGCAACAUUUUCCUGAUUUAUAUUGAGAAAGUGCAAGAUAGAGGUGCAAUUCUUCUCUAAUCGAUUUUCAAACUAUUUGAUCGUUUUAGUAACAAAAUCGUCAAUUAUUUAAUUUAGUAUCUUGUUGUUGCUGCCAACACACGCCAAAAAUACCAAAAGAAACAUUAUCCAUGACUGACUACUGCAUUAACAUAUAUAUAUACGUAAGCAUAGCAGGCUUCCCCCAUGGCUCUGCCAAUGUCACGCCACUUGCUAUAUAUAUAUAUUCCAACUUCUCUAUAAUCUUGUAUACAACUAAUGGCAUUUUGUGCCCGAUUCUAGUUAAAAUUUUGAGCUAUUGUGAUUGUUCUUUUCUAAACAACUUCUGAAAUUGUGUCGUGUUAGCUAGUUAUCUGCAUCCUCACCCUAGCGUAACAAACUAACUACAUAUUGGAAGUCGAGGUGCAUAUAUAUGUAUGAUUUGGUACACUUUCCUUGAAGUUAUAUAGAUAUAUGUCACAACAACCCUCAACUAUACAUAGUUAAUCGCACAUGUGUUCAUCAAGUAGAUGAAUAACAGCAUUAUCCGGCCCAAUCUUGGACUAAAUCCCCCUACAACUGCUUGUCCCAUCUGUGGAUUAACUGAGCCGUUUUGAGUUGAGGGAUUAUCCAUUCUGAAGAUACAUUGUUACAUAAAUCAGUAUAUUUUUGUGUCAGAGACCAAAUUCAAACAUUUAACUUAACUUGAACUAAGUGGAAAUUCUUUUCCUUUUUAUAACUGCAAACUAGCAUACGUGCUUUUAUAUUAUCGUGGAAACAAUUAAGAAUAUACACCGUAUGAAGGGUUCCUGUGAGGUGCAAUCUACAAAUAGGUCAUAUCGAGGAGGUAUCUAACCAAAAAUUAAGAUACAUCACAUCCUACAAAUACUUCUCAUAACUAAAUCAAAACUAUACUAUUAGCUCAUAACACUAGAUACUAAAAACACUAGAUAUGAAAAAAACAAGACCCUACCGGAAAUAGAAAAUGGAAAUUCUUUUAAUUUAGAACUCGAUCAUGAUUCAUUUUUCAUACAAAAUGUCGAAAUUAAAUACAUAUAAAAUCUAAAAUUAUAUACAUUUUGUGUAUAAUUAUUACCGUAUAAAUUUCGAUUGACCGAAAUCCUAACUACGCCACCAAACGGGAAAUGAACACUACUACAUAAAUUUUAUGAGUGAGCUUGAUUGCUGUUACAUGCACUCCUCCCAUUCCAAUGACGAUAAGAACCAGUAAACCACCGGCAUACACAGUGCUGCCACGUGUACAUAAAUACUGAUUUUAUAUUUAUUGCGUCAGCAGUUGCUUAAGUGGAAGAAAAAAAAAACAACCAUGAUUAGAAUUGAUGACAAAGCAACAGUGCCAAAUCAGCAACUUGACCCCUUUACUUUUAUAUUUCAAUUCCAAUAAUCAAUUGAACCGGUCUCAUUCACCUUGUGUCAACUCACCCUCCUGGCCGCUCGAAUAUAUCAUAGAAGCCAAAUUCUUUGUUUAAACCGAUUUGUUGAACCGAAUUGCACCUCAAAUCGGACGAACGAGAAGUUCAAGAAUCGAUGGUUCAAUCAAGUUUAGAGACUACAAAAGUAGUAUAGAUUCAAAUGGUUUUGAAGGUGUUAAUGAUUCAAUUAUAACAAUUUAUAAGGUUUUUUAGAUAAGUUUUUUAAGGGGCAUAUCAAUCAGAAAAUUUAAAUAUUUCAACAGAUUUGAAAUUAAAUUAAAAUGGCACAUAGUUUUUAACUUAUCCACAAAAUUAUCAUUCUUUAUUUAUCUGUCAUCCGAAUAUAAACUUGUCACUAGUGCAAAAUUUAAGAGUUUUUAAUUACAAGUGAGAUAUAUAAUUGGUAAAACUAAAUCAUGAUAUGAUUAAUGAACAUUAUGUAUAGCAUCAACUUCAUAAGUAAAUAGCUUUUGAUCGAUAGACAAAAUUACGUAUGCUUGAUUCGACAACACAAUUAAUUUUUUCCUCAAAAGUAAGUAAAUGAAAGUUGAGUCAAAGUUCAAAAAACUACAAACAUAACGUAGGAUGGAUUCUGGUCGAAAAUUCUACCGACCCAAACUGUGCAUCAUUUAUCCUGAUUGAAACAGGAAACCAUGGAAAAUCAAACCCAAAAAACCAAACAAGCCAAAACCAAAACCUUAAAGGAAAAAAAACAGAGGCAUGAUUCAUCCGUUGAAUAAAACUGACAUUAGUUUAUCAAUAAUGAUUUAAAUACAUUGGGCAGUAAUCAAGCAGACGUUUUUCUAUUCCAAUCUCCCAACUCUCACCUUCCACCCUUGCAUCCCGUUGAAUUUGCUUUGAUUGUUCGCCGGCGCCGGAGGAAACAAACCAAAAACAGAAAAGCUUCAAACUUCUUCCCAACCCUGUUCCUGAAAAUCAGAUGGUGAUACCAGGAAUCGGCCACAGGUUCUUCAAGUUCAGAAUCCCCGAUCGUCUCCUCUAAAAAAUUCCCAACUUCUCCACAAAGAUUCCUCCUUUUCUCACGGCGGUUUGUUUUCCGGCAAGGGGACAGAAAGAUGGUCGCGAAGAGCUACGACGGCUGCGUGCGGGGAAAAAUGAGGAUGGCGUGGAUAAUGCUGAGCGUUGAUUACUGGAGGCUGUUUCGUAUACUGUUCGGCGUCUUUUCCUACGAGAAUCCCGAAGGGAAGCCUCGGAUCAUCUUCCUCUAGCUAUAACCCCCCCAGUUGUUUCAUUUUUAGGAUAUUAGGAUUCCAAAUUUGUCUCUACCGCUACUAAUACUACUAGUGGAAAUCAAUUGUGUUUGUUUUAUAUAAAAAGCACACUCAAAGACCCGAUCUUUGUUCCUGAUUGAGUGAAGAAAUGCACAAUUCUAAGCUGCUGAUGAUGCAACACCAUGGAUACGCUGAGACUGACCCUUCUGGUAGAUACGGCCGUGUAAGUUCUUUUCGUUUCUAUCAUUUGUUACUUCUGCUGAUGGUUGUGUAAGCUGUUGGAAAUGAUCGAUAUAGCACGAAUUUCGAAUUUUUGGGUUGUGAUUGUGUCGUAUUUGUCUGUACGUUGCGAGAUUUUGCUGUUUCGAAUAGUAUAUAACUGGUUACACAUAUAUAGCAGAAUCUAGGAGGAAGAUUGAGAAACUAUGCUAUCUGAUGUUGGGUAGCCUGUUCGAAAAGGACAGAUAUGGCAGGAAUUUUCGGGUUUCUCGGGUUGUAAUUCUGUCGUAUUUUGUCAGUAAAUUGCGAGAUAGGGUUCGAAUUGGAUAUGAUCAUGUGCUUAGCCUAAUGGAACGUUCAUGUACUAGAAAAUGAUGUUUGAGCUGACUGUCAAAUGUUCCUGCUAAAAAAUGACAGAUAUGGCACGGAUUUUGGGGUAUUCGGGGUGAAAUUUUGUUGUAAUUGUGUCUUUAAGUUUGCGCGAUUUUUCAAAUUGAGUGUGAUCAUGUGUUUAGCCUAGUUGAAUCUAUUUACUGGAAAAUAAUGUUUGACCUGACUAUCGAUUGUCAGAAUGUAGAUGAGAAAUGAUAUGAACAGGAAGUUUCAGAGAUUUGGUUUCUGGUCCAAUUGUGAUCAGUGAGCAAACCGGUUUCGGUUUUAUGAUUGAUGUUCUUCUGUUACUGCAGUUCAAGGAGGUUCUUGGGAAAGGUGCGAUGAAGACCGUGUACAAGGCAUUUGACGAGGUACUUGGAAUGGAGGUAGCCUGGAAUCAAGUGAAGCUCAACAAUGUAUUUCGCUCGCCUGAUCAUUUGCAGAGGCUCUACUCAGAAGUUCAUCUCCUGAAGAAUCUCAAGCACGAAUCCAUCAUCAAGUUCCAUGCUUCGUGGAUCGACAGUACUCGAAGGACGUUCAACUUCAUCACUGAGAUGUUCACCUCCGGCACCCUACGAGAGUAAGUAAUACAGACAAACGCAUAUAAUAAGCCGAUCUGAUGCUUCCGGUGUGAUUCUGCAUUUCUGAUAAGUGAUGUUGUUGCAGGUACAGAAAGAAGUACCAGAGAGUAGAUAUCCGAGCAGUGAAGAACUGGUCGAGGCAAAUCCUGCACGGACUUGUUUAUCUGCACGGCCAUGACCCGCCUGUGAUCCAUAGGGAUCUCAAAGGUGAUAACAUCUUCAUCAACGGCCAUCUGGGACAGGUCAAGAUUGGCGACUUGGGAUUAGCAGCGAUUCUUCGAGACUCGCAACACGCGCAUAGUGUCAUAGGUACUCCCGAGUUCAUGGCACCGGAACUAUACGAAGAAGAGUACAACGAGCUCGUAGAUGUAUACUCAUUCGGGAUGUGUGUUCUGGAGAUGCUAACUUCUGAGUAUCCCUACAGUGAAUGCUCGAAUCCCGCUCAAAUCUACAAGAAAGUGACCUCUGGGAAGCUGCCCGAGGCGUUCCACAAGAUCAAGGAUGCUGAAGCGAAGAAGUUUGUCGGGAAAUGUCUCGAGCCUGCUUCGAAGAGAUUAUCAGCUAAAGAGCUACUCUUGGAACCGUUUGUAGCACUUGGUGAUGAACCAGAAUUGCUACCAGUCUCAAAGUUUUCGUCUUUUCGAAGCUCCCCGGCUUCUAGCUGUGAAAGUGAGGAGAUGAUGAUGACGACAAUGACGAUGAUGAUGCUGUCUUUGCAGGAUGAUCAUCCUGAAACUACGGAUAUGACGAUUACAGGAACUCUGAACCCUGAACACGACGCUGUUUUCCUCAAAGUCCAGAUUUCUGACUGCAGUGGCAUGAAACACGUUCCAUGCUCUCGUUUAUAAUUCUGUUCUUAAAGUAGUCAGAAUUCUGAUUUUGAUCUUAAAAUCAAUCUUAUUUAUUUAUUCUGUUGAUAUAUUUUGAUUAGUUUUUAAUCUCUCUUGACUGUCCAUUUUCAGGGCAUACCAAGAACAUACAUUUCCCCUUUGACAUAACUGGAGACACAGCGAUCGAUGUUGCGAUGGAAAUGGUGAAAGAGCUGGAGAUCAGUGACUUGGAACCAAUCACCAUCGCCAAGAUGAUAGAAGACGAGAUAUCUUCUUUAGCUCCGACAUGGAAACAACAAGGAACCUUCAUUUUCCACCAGCAGCAGCAUAGCUUUAGCUACGUGGAUGAUGCAGAAGAGGAAGAAGAAGAAGAAGAAAUCGGCAACCACAAAAAUUCGGAAGGAAUCUAUCAUCCAUUCUACUCGACCUCCCCUUCCUCGGACGCUUCCUCCUCCAACAGAGCUUCUCUGUUGGCCUUCAACAGCUCCUCCUCUGAGAGUCCACGUUAUGAGGAUUGCACUACACCAAUUGUCACUUUAGGUACACAUGGUCCAACUGUCUCCUAAAUGUUUUAGUAAAAAUUUGAGAUUAUAUAUAUAGUUGUUAAAUGGAUGGACGGCCUGAGUUACUUGGAUUACAAGUCAACAUGGUCAUAUGCUUCUCAAAAGGGUUAUGAACCAAUUGAGUUGUGGGUCCAUCGAGUUACACAGAAUUGAGUUUUGGACUUGUAACGUGGUCUUUGUGGAUAACCGUUGCAUCCUAAUAACUCGAGUUUUGGGAGAGAUUCAUAUAACCAUACCCUCAAAUGCAAGCUCAUGGAAGGGUACUGAAGUUUAUGUAGGUCCACCAAGUCUUGUACAAGUAAAAUGUUUAUAUUGAUGCCUAAGGAUUCGGUUAUGAUAUCAUAUGGAGAACCGUUGCAUCUCAAUAACUCGAACUGUUGGGAGGGGUUCAUAACUGGUGUAUAUACCAUUGGUUAACUCGAAUGACUUGUGAAUCGUUAACUUUUAGCCAAUUCUGUUACUCGGUUGAUUUAAGUGGAUUAAUCAGGUUCAGUCAGAUGCUGACAGCACUAAUUAUGGAUCGAAAAUGGGUAAAAAAAAUGCAGGGAAGCUGCUACAAGAUGAUGCAGAUGACUUGAGUUCGGAGAGCUCUUACAACUACUCAACAGUCUCUUACUGCUCCGGAAACGAAGACGAGCAUAAUCGGCCAGAAGAAGAACAAUCUAUAGCUAAGAUUGACCAGUCGGAAAGCUGCAAAGGAGGAGGGUGUAGGAUGAUGCCACCGGGGAGGAAGAAGAAGCUGAGCCGAAUACGAUCGGUGUUGGAUAUGAGAAGCCAGUUGCUGAACCGGUCGUGGGUGCAAGAGAUGAACAAGAAGCGUUUGUUCAAGACUGUGGGAGCAGUUGAGAACAUUGGAUAUCAUGACUGGAACCCUUCUGCUUCUUCCUGAUGAUGAUAAUGAUGAAAAAAAAAAACAAAACUGGGAUUUUUUUGCUGUGUGUUGUAAUUGGUGAAGUGUUCUGAAGAUAAGACUGUUUUGUCAUUGUGUUUUGGUGUGGUUUCAUAAUAAGCCAGAGAACAUUUUGGUGACAGAAUGACUUAGUUUAGAAUUUUAAGGUUGUGAUUGAUUUUGUUUGCAGAGUUAUAUUCAUUAUAGGGUAGAAAGUUCAUGUUGGUGUUUUGUCUGAGUAUGAGUUGUGUUUUUUUAUUCUACAAUGAAAGCUUAGGAGAUCCUUACUUGAUGGUUUCUGUUCUUUAUUCCCCUGAAGUAAAAUUGUAAUUUAGAGUCUUAGGGAUUAAUCUAGGAUGUAUAUAUUUUCGAAAUAACAAGGAUGACGAUUACAGGAUAUGGGUUCUAGACAGAUUAAUCUCUAACUUUAUUUCAUUUGCGUUAUUUCAUGCAUUUUAGGGGUCAGGUGACUGCAAUGUGUGGGUUUUUCAUACCUUUAUUGAAGGCAAUCAGAUUGCAGAUUUCGUUGCCCAACCAUGGACACUCAUUGCCUCUUGGUUCUUGCCGUCUUUCUACCAUUCCUCACGGCAUUGCAUGCUGAGUGUAGUAAGACCGACAUUACGAGUGUUACUUUCCUUCAUACCCGAUUACCAUACCAGAUACCCGAUUAUUCCAAAUUCAAAGAUCAAUUUGUCGAUUACGUUUCUGAUUCACUCUCAGAAUAAUUAUUUGAAAAAAUAGGACCAUAACUCUCUCACUACACUAACGCACCAUCGCGCAAAGUCAUCAACCACUAGGUCAUUCUUCCACAGAUAUGAAGGCAGAGGGUUAGCUGAAACGUAGCCAUCAUUUAGUCACACAUGCACUGUGAUUGUCAAAAAAAAAACACACUGUGAUGAGUGGUUGAUGCUGAGAUUCGAUUAGUUGGGGAAACCAAUCCCUUGAUUAAAGCCAGAAUAAUUGCAUGUGAAAAUGGUUAGUUGAGACGUCCAUAUAAUAUGAAAUUUUGCAAAUGGGUCCCUCAUCAAACAACAUCAGAUUUCGUUAUUACAAAGACAACACGAGAGAAUUGGAUUAGAGAAAGGACGACAUAUAUACAUGUCGAUCCUCCUACACUGACGUUCUAAUCCAAGCAUGUGGAUUUUCAUGCUAUGUUCAUCAGCAUAUAUCAACUAUUAAUUACUCAGAGGACCAAUUUGAGGUUUUGAAUUAAUUAUGGAUGAUUGUCUUUGCUCGAUAAAAAUUGCGAUCGAUCAUUACUUGAUUUAUUUUUCUAUUUUAUGUUAUAUUGGGAUAUCAACCCAAAUAUUAUAUCGAUAAGUUGGAUAUCUUUUAUGAAAGAAUUCAAAAACAAUUUGCGUCAACUUGGCUCAAAAUGUACAAUAGCAUAUUACUAUUUGUCUCGCCAAUAAACAACAUGUGUUGAGUGGUCAUGUCAUAUAUUUCGGUGUGAGACCUCUUUGAGUUUUGUCUUUAGAUAUACUUACUUAAAGGCAUUUUGUUUAGUUGUAGAGAUAAGAAUGGUCGAAGCUAAAAUCACUGCACGAGGCCUUUUGAUUAUAGUAGAGUGACAAAAUUUUAUGUAAAAAAUUUAAAUAUAUUAUCANNNNNNNNNNNNNNNNNNNNNNNNNNNNNNNNNNNNNNNNNNNNNNNNNNNNNNNNAAUAUAUAAAAUCUCCGAUUAUUCUAAUUUUGUUAUUGAAAACGAUUAUGAUGCACCCAUGUUAUUGUGAAUAGUGGACAUUUGGAUCUAUUUUUGACCACUAUGAAUGCUGUGACUUAAUGGAAGAUGAAUAAUGAUGUUGAAACUCAAUAAAACCUUUAUAACUUUUCAUUUACGAGACGUGGGUUGGCCAGAAAACGACACAUGUAAAAACAUCAAUGGUCCCAAAUUAUAAUACAUUGGACCUUUUCUUUGGUAUAAAAAUAUAUUGGACCUUAUUAGUUAGCUUUUCCCAUAUUGGCACUUUUGGGAUCAUCCUACCAGAAUGUAACUUUGGGAUUCAUAUGUAGAUUUUAUAACAUUCUAUUCGAUUUAGGUCCAAACAAUUGAUAUUUAUUUUUUAUUAAAUUAACAAAUCGCUCUAAAUGAAAUUAUGAGUUACUAAUAAUAAAUUUUUUUAUCAAAAUAGACCGCGACUUUCGGUCUAACUCCAAAUAAAAGACAAACUCAUAAUAAAACUCAUAUACUAGUACCAAUGUGAACGGAACCAAACAUAUAGAACAAAAAAUAUUCAUUACACGGCCGCCCACUCCUGACUGGAGACAACCGUAGAUUUAGGGACCAGAUUUGUUUGUCGCCGUCAUUAAUUUACUGCCACACGUGCACCUAUCCUAGUCAGUCUUAGUUUUUCCAGAAUUCCAAAUUUCUUCUUCUCCCGGCUGUUUGUCAAAAAUAUCUCGCAACACGACAAAACUUCAUCGCCGGAGUGGUAGUAAAUUCUAUUGUUAUUUUAAUAGGCGAUUUGAAUCCAACCAACCCGAUCAAACAUAAGUAUCUGUUUGCAGAUCUUUUGCUUGUAUAGAAACGAAAAUGUGCAUCUAACCGAUGAACUAAUGAAAUGGCUCGUGUAUUUGCUCUAAAAUAUUCUGGUCCACGAUGAUGUUAUUUAACCAAUGGAUACGUACUCAUGGUGAUCGAGAGGGAUUGGUGUAGACAAGCUAAGGUAACUGCAGAUUUCGAGAAAUGAAACGGUGACAAAAAAUAAAGAUAAAUAUUAUUAGUAUUAAAGAAUGAUUUUUCUCGUUCUGAUAUGUUUUACGAGUCUUUGAUAGAUAAUUAUUCGAUCGUAAAAUAAAUCACACAAGUAAGUAAUAAAAAAGAGUAUGAUAUAAGCGUAUUGUGAAACAUAUAUAUACUGGGUGUAUGCGCUUUGAGAGAAUAGACCUGCCUGAAGGAUAUAACUCCAUGUUUGAAGUGUAGCCUCGCCGUACUAAAGGUCUCGAGAAUUGUAGUUAAAAGUUGUCUUAUGUUCUUAAUGCAAAAGACUCAAGAGCCUAUUGUAAGGGCCACAUGGUGGCAUGACAUCAUUUUUUAUUAUGUGUCGGUCGUAUGAGUGAAUAGUAGGUGGAAACCAUAUGUGGAUUGUUAAGGAUGGACGAUCAUUAAUUUCCUAAGCAUGUGGUAUUAUAGGUAGACAAUUUAACCUUUGUACAUGGUGGCGUGCGCCCAUCUCUUGAUGGAACUGACGAAAGUCGGACCGCCGUGAGCGUGGGCGAACUGUCUCAUCAUAGUGACAGACAUGCAAGCCUCACAUCGAUUUGUCGGUCCGAUCGGUUAUUGUACUGGGCAAUCUGGGAGCAGGCCGUUGGGUCCAUAUAUCAGUUGUAAAUCCACAUCUCAAUCUCCUACUUAGCUCGAUGUGAUCCUCAAUUGGCAAUAUAGUGCUUAAUUAGGCCCGUAAUGAUAUUUUUGUUUGUGCUAGUCUCGAGAGAUGUAUGUAUAGUCACAGAGGAGCAUGCAUAUGUAUUCUGUAAUGAAAUGACAAGGCCUUGGGUUCUGAAAUCUGAUACAAGAAUGCCUUGUCUAAACUGAAAGAUAGAACGAAAUCACUGGUCGGUACGUAGGUGAUCAGUCAGCAGUCAGUUUAGACAGGAAUAUAACUGGCAGUAGCCCAGAAAUUGGCAUCUAAAUAAAGGAAAUUGGGUAUCGUAGUUGAGUGGCUAAAUCGAGCUGCAAUAAAUUUUUUCUUAGGGAAUGGCAGAAGAAAAGAACAUAUAUAGGCCCAGAAAAUUUGCAGAAUCUCCGGGUUCAUGUUCAGUCCUGCCGUCUCCUUAUGUCUUAUCUCUCACCUUCUUACUGUACUGUUUACUUCUUCAUUUACGUUGACCACUGACCAGCUCACCGACAAGUUCUUCUCCUCGAAGAUAUUUUGGGUUUGAAGUUCGAAAUUUAUAAUCAUUUCGGGUUUUAUGAUUAUAUCACUAGCCUCAUCUGAGUUGAAAUUUCAAAAUUUUUAUAAUGCUGACAUUAUUAAACUUGGUGCUCGUAGGAGUUUUUUGUUAUGAAAAAAAUCAUAUAAUUUAAAACUCAAUUUUACUUCAAUUUAAUUUUAUUAUAACUCUCGAAUCAGGAAAAAUCAUGUACAACGAUUGCCUAAAAUUGAACGACACAUGGGAGCGACUCAAAUGCAACAUGGACCCAAUCGAGGACGCAAACACAUAUGCCGACGGGAAUGAUCGAAGAGUGGUAUAUUACUCGGUAACUCAAGAACCAAAUUGAUAAAGUUUUCAUUUUACCUCAUGGAUUCAAGCUGAAGUAAGCUACCACAACAUUAAUCUCGAUAGAACCAACUCGAAUGCAGCACGAUCCAAAUCAACGAUGCGGACACAGAUGACGAACGGGAAUGAUCGAAGAUCAGCGGCAUCUUGCUCGGUGACUCAAAACCGAAAUUGACGUUUGUUGUUCGAUUUACAUAAUGGAUUCAAGCAUAUUGUAUAAUUUGUUACUGUAGAAGUGUAUCUGUUUCGUCACUUUGUUAAGACAUAGGGAACACUUAUAGAAGAUAUUACCAAACUUUAAUUGUUUGGAUUCACCAUGGGAUUCUCUCCCACCUCACCCUCCCUUACUUUGGCUUCAUUACCAUCCUACCUAGCCCCUACUCCCAACAGACUUUACUUUGUUUUUCACGAUUAAAAAGAAUCCUUUAAAUUCAAGUGGACUCGGCCUGCGUUGUUGCUAUUCUUUUCAAACCGGCUUCGAACGUGAUCAUGCACACGAAAUUGGUGGCGAGAUUCGAGCAUAUGCUUCAACGUCAAUAACAGGUCCGACUCACUCAUAUUUAUCUGGAGGGUAAUCACGUAGCUAAUGCCAUGGCGAAUCUUUGUCACCAUCUUCUGCUGGGUAUGCAUAAUACCCUCUCUCAAAUGGAAAACUCUCAAGCUAGCUCUUAUAUGAUUCUGUUGGAAGUUGCGAGGCCCGUCAAAUAGCGACGACUUAGCUCUAUUCUUUAUUUUUCCUCUAAAAAAGAGAAUCCUUUAAUUUCUUCCAAUAUUUAAUUAAAUUUAUUAAACACAAAACCUAAUAAACUUUUCUAAUUCAACAUUAAAAACGGUUUGCAAAAGUCAUUGAAUUUUACUAUAAUCAUCUAAAAUAUUAACUGAGACGAAACGACUUUUGACAUAAAUUUUAUAUAAUUCUCAAAAUAAUUAUUUUGUAAUCCAAUAAACCUACAAUUCGAUAUACAAUAAUUUGAUUUACACCACUCAUGACCUUCCCAACCCUUUUGUUGGACAACUUUACCAAACACUAACUCAUGGACAGAACAAUUUCUUAAAGAAACAUUCAACAUCUUCUACAUUCAGCAUAGAGAUAUACAAUAUAUUCGAUAGAGACUUGAAAAUACAGAAAAUAUUCUAUACAUAAAUGAAAUACACAACACCCACAUUUUAAACAAAGCCCAAAAUGUUAAAUAAGAAAAUCAAUUUAUCAAGAUGUUGUAACAUCUCCAAGAAAUAUAGAUGCAUGGACAAGUAAUUAAUAAAUAUAAAAUGUGGUUUAUUUUUCUUCAAAAGGUUGUUGGAUGUUUUCUCAUCCUACUCUUCCUAAUGACAGUGACACGUCAGAAACAAACAAAACACCCCAUAAAUAAAAGCAAAAGCAUCAUCAAAUUGAUUGGAUAUGACUAUUGAAAUGUUUGAUGUCUCCUCUUGCUUGUCCCUAUUUGACCAAUACUCGUAUUGUCCAAAUUGAAUAAACGUACACUUUUCACAUCCUAAUAUAAUAUGCCAAAGUGACACGAUCGUAGCUAGGGUGGGAAACCUGUUUCGGCCCUGUCAAAUUAAGAUUCGAACACCCUAAGUUUUCAGGCUUUUUGGGUAAUUCAUGUAUUCGAUUAUUAGCAUAUUUAUUCUCUUUUUAUUUGAAAUUUUUGGAUGUUUGGAUGCCUUAACACGUUCAAAUUCAUGAUGUUUGGUGCAUAUUUGGUUCCCCUUGGUCCCUUGGGCCGUGUUACGUUGCUUUGUAUGUUUUUGGUACAUUUUAGUUGUCAUAUGACGAUUUAGGAUGAAUCAAGCCUUGGCGGAGAGUCUGUAACAACUCAGUACGCUCGACUUGUGAAGAAAACGUCACUGUUUAGUAUUUUGAGCAUAACUCAUCACUCGAAAGUCCAAUUGAUGCAAGGCCAUCAAAGUUGAAAAGAUAAUUCGAUUGUUUAUAACUUUUAUGUUGAAGUCAUGGUGAAAUUCCGUAUAUUAAAACAACACGGCGUGUUGCAAUGGCAAACGGCCGUGUUCUUCAUAUUUAUGCUCACGGCCGAGAAGAGCUGAAGAAAGGACACAACCGUGUUCUUUUCGGACACGCCAUGUUCUCCGAAACAUGCCAUAUUUUAUGGAACACACUAUAUUUUACCUCCUAACGAGAUUUUUGAGCUUAAUCCUUCUCCAACUUGGUCUAGAAGUCUAUAAAUACGCAUGAGACCCCCUAUGGACGAGAUAUAUUUCAAAUAUACUUUAUUCCAAAUAGUUUUUCGAGAUAAAGAGAGAUAAAGAGUUCAAGAGAUCGAUGAAGCGAGAGAACAUCAACAAUUGGAGACAGGUCGAAGAUUGGCGACAAGACGGAGAUUUAUCGACGAAACAUGUUUUCUUCCCAGGUUAUUUUCCUUUCUUCUUCCCUUCUUAUUUCCCGAACCAUGAGUAGCUAAACCUUUCGUGUUGUUUGGAUGAGAUGAAACUUUAGUUUAACUUUUGUAUGGAUGAUGGGGUUUUAAAGUUUUGAUUUGGUAUCGAGGUUAUUCAGACAUAUGAUGUGUUUUUGCUAAACUUAAUUUCUGAUUCAAUUUCGUUUGAUCGCCCUAAUUGAAUCAUCGUUAUUGAUUUGUGGAUCCGAGAGGAACAUAGAUUGAUAGGUCGCUUAGGAAGAACUCUAGAUUGUUCGUUAGCUCGAGAGAGGAAUGGAUCGUUUAGGCUUUUCGCAUCAUUUAUCGUUGUGGCGUUUCAUCGAACACCUUUAGUGCGUUUUGGUUAGGUGUAGAUUAGCUCGAGAGAGGAGUCUACGGUUGAGUAGAAUAGAUCCUUAGAGGCACGAGAGUGAUCUAAGACUAUCGUAGAAUAUCGUCAAGCUAUUAUAACCUGAAUAUUGAGAUAACUUAUCGUUCAUCCAUGCAUUGCUAGUUUUAGUGGAUUCAAAUCCGAACAACCUUGAUUCCAUAUUUGAAACUCAAUCUCUUGCAUUUUCUUUCUUUUGAUUUGCAUUCUUAGUUUAUAAUUGGUCACUUCAACAAACAAGCAAACAAUCAUUCACUGAUUCUUGGUUUAAUUAGCAUAAUCAAUUUGAGUAAUAACAUUAGAAAGACUCUAGAACAAUAAACGAUUUCAUUAAUUAAUUCUAGUAGGUAUUUGAUAGCGGGGUAAAAUCCGCUCGUUAGUAACACUUAAAAAGGCCGAUCUAGCCAAGAGUUUGAUCCUUCAACCACUUUACCGUUCAUAACCUUUCUUAUUCUUUCGCCUCUUCCUUCUUUUCAUUGGAUCGAUGUGGAACAACACAGGUUUGGACGGAGGGUACUACUGUGUGACAAGCUAGAUAGUUUUGACACCGUCGAGAUGUUAAAAUAUCCAAUCGGGCUUAACCAUUACUAACACUAGACUGGUCAAACCAAACUUCGGACACUCAAAAUCCCUAGUUGGGAGCAAAUGACCGGAACCCGUAUUGGUCAAAUUGCUAGAUACGGACUUCUAGUCACUCCGGAUAAAACUCGGGAAAAGAAACGAACCGGGUCAAAAUGUAAGAUUUAGCCUGAUCGACCCAAUCCAACCGAAACUCCACCUGGCAGUAUACCGUACUUCUACAGAUGACUGGAUUGUUUGUUUUAAUUUUAAAACUCAAGUCUUACAUUAUUGAGACCAUAAAAGAAAAAACUAAUGUUGAGACUCUCAAUUAUGAUCAACAACUUGAAAGGAGUGUAAUGUUUGACUAGUUAUUUUUGUUAGGUUUCUACCCAGCUACCAAUAGGCCUCACGAGCUUGGAAACUGACGACAGAGUCGGUACGUCGACAAUGGCCAGAGAAGCACAAAUAGGGUGAAUGUCCAAAACGAAACAGAGCAACCAAAACCCAACUAUACCAUGAACUCUUGCAUGGAGAGCACCCUUUUUUGUUCUUAUCCGUCAGAUUCGUACUCAAUAAUUUAUCAAACUCGAGUUUAUUAGUGGUUAAGACUUGAGCGGAGAUAUGAAACUGAUACUUUUUAUAAAACUCGGAGUUAUGCUAUGUAUUUUUUUAUCAUCUAAUACAAGGUAAUUUCUCAACCAAACAGAGACAUGGAGAAUAAAUUUAAAUUUUUUUGUUAAAUUAAAACUCACAAAGUAGGGAAUUUCUAAAAGUUGGGCAUGUAUUUUAGUUAGUUUAAUCCAAGUUAAACUCCAAUCUUGCUUUUUCAAGAAGCCUUUUGUGAGUGGCUGAGAUUCCCUUACUGACCCUAAGCUAAAGUCUAAUCCUAAUCCAGAUAAAUCCUGAAUCCCUUGCGCAUGGCAAAAAAUGGUAUGCUUUACGACUAUUUCCCAACCUGAAAAUCUUCAGCUUUUUCCCCCAAAGUUACACACCAAACAGUACCCUGCAAGCAACAUCAGUACUGCUACUACAAACCUUCAAAAGUACACAACAUGCCUACUUACCCAAAGUACCAUUUACCAACAUAAAGCUCCAUCCUUCCUUAAAAGCAUAUCUUCUUUACGUGUUGGAAGUCUGUGUCUUCUAUCUAGGGCCGGAAAUCGGGGCAGGUUCGGGUAUCGUUUUCAAAAAUUCUUAGACCCUGAACCACUUCUAGGGCAGAAAGUCGAGGUGAGUUCAGGUACGGUUUUCGAAAAUGUGUAACCCCCUCUCAAACCAUGAACUCAUUCAGACAUACGGGUAUUUAUCCAUAUAUUGGAAUAGUUAUUACGAAUUUGGAUUAAGGUAUUCGUCGAUACCUAACUUGAUCCAUCUGGCUUUUAAAUUUUAACAAAAGAAAGAACUAACCUACAUUUGAGUAGUAUAGUCCCGAAAAAUGAGUGAAUGGUAGUUGGUAUAUAUGGUACUUGUCUGUUACCGUAUUGACACGUUUUAUACGUCAUUUUAGGAUAGCAGUACCAUGUUUAAAGUUCGGCAUAUGUUAUAAAAUUUUAUAAAUUUAUAAUUUUAAAAAUGAAUAAAAGUUGAAGAGUUUAUUAAAAUAUCAAUUCUUAUCUUUAAAAUACGUGUUUUAUAUGUGAAGUAUCAAAUAAAUAUAAAACUAUUAAAUGGUUUUAUAAUAAUACAAGUACGGAAGUUUUAAAAGAAUUUAUUAAAUGAUAUUAAUUGGAUUUUUGCUAACUAACUAUUUCAUGGUUUUUUGGGUUUGGGUUUGCUUUCAUAGCUUGGUAAGUAAGGUUAGGUCGGAAAGAUAACCCGGAUCAAUGAGGUAAAUCCAAUCGGAUAGCGAGUGCCAUCGGAUAAGAAGAAGUAAGAAUCUUACACCAAAACCAGUUUGAGUUCAAGGUUGGAUUCGAGUAUACCCGAUACCAGUCGGGUAGAUUUCGAUCUUUAGAAAAACCCAACAGACCCACCAAGCUAAGAGUUCAAAAAUAACAGGAUAAGAAGAAUAAAAAACCAGAGACAGCAAGAACAGGGGAGGACUCUUAAUGUACAGUUUCAUAUCAUUACUAAACUAAAAAUUAAGUUUCUUGAUAAUCAUUACAAUUUGGUCAAAUGGACGAACCAGAUUUCCUUGAACACUUUGAUGAUAACAUCAUGAUACUCUUCCGAAUUUAGACACAAGUAACAAGCCAAAAGGUCUUCCAAAUCUUUGGACCUGCUAAUGUUAUUCUCCACAAUCAUCUCCACCAUCGACUCCAUGAAGUCCAGCUGUGGAUCCGACGACGAUUUCACCACCGCCAUACAUCCCGAAGAUGUCAGAGAACAGCUAGAGCUCAAGUUCGUCGAAGAACUCGAACUCGAACUCGAACUCGAGCUCGAGCUCAAGCUUUUUCUUCCUUGCUGCUGCGAUUGAACUCUCAUGUACCCGAUUCUGGGAGACUUGACCCGGAGCUUUAUCCCUGGAGAAUUCGUCGACGAAGAUUGCUUUCUUAUAAAUGAUGAUCCUUUUUGCUCUUUGCCGACAUUGAUGGACAGAGGUUUCUGAAUCGAGCUGCUCCUCUGUUUCUUUACACCUUCAAUGCUAUCGUCGAAGCUCGACGGCUUGGUCAAAAUGGGGACCAGAUCUCGUUGAGGCAUUUUAUCAUAAACAAUGUCGUUAGGGCAGCCGCAGGAAUUAUUGCUUGAUCUGGAGGACACCAUCUUAUCGAACGAAUCCGUCCUGAGCGAACAAUCCGACCUGAAUUCCGUAUCGGAUGCGGAAACAGAGCAAUCCGUAACCUCCGCCGGCAGCGGUGGAGGCGGUGUCAAGUCCGAUUUCGCCGUGGGUGGCCGGUGGUUGACGACGCGGCACGCGGGUGGCCAGUGGUUAACGACACGGCAACUGCAGCCGCCGGAAACAGAGAAGAAAACGAGGUCGGGAGAUGGCCUGACAGCGGCGGAUUUCUUCUUGGGUGGUAGUUGCCUGGACGAUUUCUUUCUGGGAGAAUUGGGGAGCUUUGGCUGUGCUGAUGAACUUGGUGGUGAUGAUUUGAGCUCUCUGGUAAAAUAAUAAGACUUCCUCGUUCCAGUCGGAGGAGGGGGAGGCGUGGGCUUACGAUGGCGGCGGGUUGUGUCGGAAGCAUUGGCGGCGGACGUUGGCGGCGGCCGUGUGUUUGAGGUUGUGGAACCAGGCGUUUGGGAUCAUGUCGGAGAAUCUAAACCGGAGAUUACCCAUAGGUGUGUGGUUGUUUGAGAGAGAGAGAGAGAGUGGUUUUGGGUUUUGGAUUUUGGUUGAAGGAAAUCAUAAAUAGAGAGACUGAGAGGGGAGUGAGUGGGGCAAAAAGAGUGACAGAGAAAGGAGAUGGUAAAGUAGUUUACCC